rnacentral:tRNA from 1 species
GCAGGGGUAUCGAAGUGGUCAUAACGGGGCUGACUCGAAAUCAGUUUGGGCGCAAGCCCACGUGGGUUCGAAUCCCACCCCCUGCGCCA